UACGUAGGGGGGCAAGCGUUGUCCGGAUUUAUUGGGCGAAAGAGCGUGUAGGCGCCAGACAGGUCCGUUGUGAAAACUCGAGGCUCAACCUCGAGAUGUCGAUGGAAACCGUCUGGCUAGAGUCCGGAAGAGGAGUGUGGAAUUCCUGGUGUAGCGGUGAAAUGCGCAGAUAUCAGGAAGAACACCUAUGGCGAAGGCAGCACUCUGGGACGGUACUGACGCUGAGACGCGAAAGCGUGGGGAGCAAACAGG
rnacentral:rRNA from 1 species